rnacentral:rRNA from 1 species
UACGAAGGGGGCAAGCGUUGUUCGGAAUUACUGGGCGUAAAGGGCGCGUAGGCGGCCGAUCAAGUCAGGCGUGAAAUUCCCGGGCUCAACCUGGGGGCUGCGCUUGAUACUGAUUGGCUUGAAUGCGGGAGAGGAUAGUGGAAUUCCCAGUGUAGAGGUGAAAUUCGUAGAUAUUGGGAAGAACACCAAUGGCGAAGGCAGCUCUCUGGACCGUUACUGACGCUGAGGCGCGAAAGCGUGGGGAGCAAACAGG